rnacentral:rRNA from 1 species
GACGAACGCUGGCGGCGUGCUUAACACAUGCAAGUCGAACGGAGAGGCCCUGCUUUUGUGGGGUGCUCGAGUGGCGAACGGGUGGGUAACACGUGAGUAACCUGCCCUUGACUUUGGGAUAACUUCAGGAAACUGGGGCUAAUACCGGAUAGGAGCUCCUGCUGCAUGGUGGGGGUUGGAAAGUUUCGGCGGUUGGGGAUGGACUCGCGGCUUAUCAGCUUGUUGGUGGGGUAGUGGCUUACCAAGGCUUUGACGGGUAGCCGGCCUGAGAGGGUGACCGGCCACAUUGGGACUGAGAUACGGCCCAGACUCCUACGGGAGGCAGCAGUGGGGAAUAUUGCACAAUGGGCGGAAGCCUGAUGCAGCAACGCCGCGUGCGGGAUGACGGCCUUCGGGUUGUAAACCGCUUUCGCCUGUGACGAAGCGUGAGUGACGGUAAUGGGUAAAGAAGCACCGGCUAACUACGUG